rnacentral:rRNA from 1 species
AAUACGAGGUGCUAGCGUUGUUCGGAAUCAUUGGGCGUAAAGCGUACGUAGGCGGUUUAAUAAGUCGUUUGUGAAAGCCCCGAGCUUAACUUGGGAAUUGCAAUCGAUACUGUUUUACUAGAGUUUGGUGGGGGAUAGUGGAAUUCCUAGUGUAGGGGUGAAAUCCGUAGAGAUUAGGAGGAACAUCAGUGGCGAAGGCGACUAUCUACGCUAAUACUGACGCUAAGGUACGAAAGCGUGGGGAGCAAACAGGAUUAGAUACCCUGGUAGUCCACGCAGUAAACGAUGAGUGCUAGUUGUCGGGUCUUAGACUUCGGUGGCGAAGCUAACGCGUUAAGCACUCCGCCUGGGGACUACGAUCGCAAGAUUAAAACUCAAAGGAAUUGACGGGGACCCGCACAAGCAGUGGAUCAUG